rnacentral:rRNA from 1 species
AUGCCUAGGGAUCUGCCCAGUCGAGGGGGAUAACAGUUGGAAACGACUGCUAAUACCGCAUACGCCCUACGGGGGAAAGGAGGGGACCUUCGGGCCUUCCGCGAUUGGAUGAACCUAGGUGGGAUUAGCUAGUUGGUGAGGUAAUGGCUCACCAAGGCGACGAUCCCUAGCUGUUCUGAGAGGAUGAUCAGCCACACUGGGACUGAGACACGGCCCAGACUCCUACGGGAGGCAGCAGUGGGGAAUAUUGCACAAUGGGGGAAACCCUGAUGCAGCCAUGCCGCGUGUGUGAAGAAGGCCUUCGGGUUGUAAAGCACUUUCAGUAGGGAGGAAAGGUUGCAGUUUAAUAAACUGUAGCUGUGACGUUACCUACAGAAGAAGGACCGGCUAACUCCGUGCCAGCAGCCGCGGUAAUACGGAGGGUCCGAGCGUUAAUCGGAAUUACUGGGCGUAAAGCGUGCGCAGGCGGUUUGUUAAGCGAGAUGUGAAAGCCCUGGGCUCAACCUAGGAAUAGCA